rnacentral:lncRNA from 1 species
UUAAAAUGGGUAAGAAAGGGUUAAAAAGGGGUUAAAUUUGAAAUUGAGGUUCCUGGUUUAUACUGUUUCAUACUGGUCCAUACUGGUUUAUACUGGUUUAUACUGGGAGGGGAGAAAGGGUGAAAAAAGGACAAAAAAUGGGUUAAAAUAUGUCCAAAAUUGGCUAAAAAUUGGUUUAAAAAGGGGUUAAAUUUGGAAUUAGGGUUACUGGCUCAUACUGGUUUAUACUGGUUUAUACUGGUUUAUACUGGUUUAUACUGGGAGGGGGAAAUAGGGAAAAAAAGGCGAAAAAUGGGUUAAAAUAUGUCCAAAAAUCGUUAAAAAGGUGGUUAAAAAGGGGUUAAAUGUGUAUUUAGACUCCAUACUGGUUCAUAGUGGUUUAUACUGGUUAACCCCGCAGGUCGCUGGGGGCGGGGCAGACGCUCCGGCUCAGCCAAUCAGUGACGCCGCUGCGCGCAGGGCAGCGCCGCCUGGCGGCCACGCUGGAGAGCGCAGCGCUGCCGCCGCUGACCGGCAGCGUCCAGUUCGACGUGGCCGCGGGGGAAACUGGGGAAACUGGGAAUACUGGGAAUACUGGGAAUACUGGGAGGAGGAGGAGGAGGAGGAGGGGGAGGCCGGGAGGCAGCACGGGGGGGUGAGCUGGUUUGUACUGGGAGCACUGGUUUGUACUGGGAGCACUGGUUUGUACUGGGAGGGGGUUUGGGUCGUACUGGGAGCACUGGGAGCCAUACUGGUCCAUACUGGGAGCACUGGGAGCACUGGGAGCCUUACUGGUCCAUACUGGUUC